GAUGAACGCUGGCGGCGUGCCUAAUACAUGCAAGUCGAGCGAACGGAUGAGAAGCUUGCUUCUCUGAUGUUAGCGGCGGACGGGUGAGUAACACGUGGAUAACCUACCUAUAAGACUGGGAUAACUUCGGGAAACCGGAGCUAAUACCGGAUGAUAUUUUGAACCGCAUGGUUCAAAAGUGAAAGACGGUCUUGCUGUCACUUAUAGAUGGAUCCGCGCUGCAUUAGCUAGUUGGUAAGGUAACGGCUUACCAAGGCAACGAUGCAUAGCCGACCUGAGAGGGUGAUCGGCCACACUGGAACUGAGACACGGUCCAGGCUCCUACGGGAGGCAGCAGUAGGGAAUCUUCCGCAAUGGGCGAAAGCCUGACGGAGCAACGCCGCGUGAGUGAUGAAGGUCUUCGGAUCGUAAAACUCUGUUAUUAGGGAAGAACAUAUGUGUAAGUAACUGUGCACAUCUUGACGGUACCUAAUCAGAAAGCCACGGCUAACUACGUG
rnacentral:rRNA from 1 species